UUCUAUCUUUUGUCCUAAGGAGAGCUGUGCUUAGGCAAUCACAUGGUUAAAAAACUUUGUGCUUGCAAGUCUUCCUCCCUCCUCCCCCCUCCUUCUUUGUUGCUUUCUCUUGCUCUGACUGCUAUGAGUAUUGGCUACAGGGGGGGGUGAAUGGGUGAAAUGCUUGUAAACUCAGUGAGGAAUGUGAGGGAAACAAGGUAUAUUUGCUGGACGAAUAACCUAGUUAGGAACUUUGUGUAAUCUUGUAUAUGUUGUUAAGUAAGAGGUUAUUGGCAUGUUGGAAUAAGGAAAGUUGGAUUUUGUUGGAACAAAUGAAUUGUGGAAUUCAUAAAUGAUAUUGCAGAGAAAAGUAAAUUGCAGUUUGCAUAUAAUAGCAGCUAUUCAGAUGCUGUAUUGUGGCAAUCUUUAUACACACAAUGUGAAAUUGCCAAUAGUGAAAUUGACAAGAAAUUGUUUGUUAAUAAGAAAAAAAAAAAAGAUCAGAAAUUUUAUGAAACUAGUCUGUACUUACAGUGCAUUGAUUUGUAAACGUAAUGCAGGUCAAGACAAUUUAGAAUCAUCAGAAAAAGAAGUAGAUUUGAAUGGGUUAACAGAAGACAAAUCAGAUUUAAAUGAACAGUGUAACAAUGUAACAGGGAGCACAUGCUGUAAACAGUCAGAAACAGUCUGUGAAUUAGAGGAUAGAGUUGAACUAAGAAAUGAUCUUAUUUGCCAGCUUAGAAAUGAAGUUAAGCAAGUGUGUGUUAAUACAAGAAAAAUACAGACACAGAAUCUAAUCCCAGAACCAAUAGAUACUGAAAAUGUAUCCUCACAGAGUGAUUUGCAGAAAAUAUAAAUUUCAAGACAGAGCUGCAAAACUUAAUUUGAAAAUACACGAACAAUUAAUGAAAAUUGUGAAAUGUAUUCCAGUUUAUGACACGUCAGUGGAUGCAUUUACUAAUGCUGGAAUGUUUGAGUCAAAUGUGGACAAAUACAGCCUAAAUGACGAACAAAGGAAUAGAUUGUUUAAAAUAUGGCUGUAGACUGACCACGCUUGUAAAAUUUCAGGACAAUGAUAAAAUAAUAUAUGGAAAUUAGGAGACAGACAAGCAAUGCAGCGUAACACAGAAAGUUAUAAGAAUCAGAUAACUUCAAGAGAUAUGAUCAGUUUAGGGAAUGAGCAUGGAUAUGUCUGCCAACAGAUGUACACAGGCUGAUUCCAGAAUUAAGAACAGCACAAGAAUAGAGAUCUAUGUCAGUUUAUUGUUUUAAAUGAAUUGUUAGUCUGUACUGUCUUUCAUUGUUUUUAUAUGUGUUAUAAGAAAGUAUUAGGUUAAUUAAAAUAAAAAUUUAAAUCAAGUUUGCACAUAUGGCAGAAUGAGAUGCACUAAUGUAGCAGUGAGGAACAUGCAAUGUUAUGUUGGGUGUAUACAAUUAUAUAGUAACUCCAAUCAUUUUACAGAAGAAAAAACAAUAGAUUUAUUCUUUGUUGCUUCUGAGGUUGAUUUAAAAUCUUUGAUUUAAUUCAUGAGAAUGAGAUUUUAAUAUCAUGACUGAUAAUGGAUUACUGUAUAUUGUAACGCCUGGACAUACACAUGGUUUGGAUAUACUGAAGACAAAAGGAAUAAUAUAUGGGAAUGGAUAAGGCUAAUUUACCCCUAUCCACAGCUACGCCUACUCCUAAAGUAACAUCGCGUACAUCCUUACUAUGCCCUUUUACUGUAGAAUUUCCCGAAUCCUAAUGACCAAUUCCACUACAUGGUGUGACUUGUUUAAGCCUAAGAUAAAUUGGCUGAUCAGGCUACCUGUAUUAACAAUGUCAUCAACGAUGAGUUAGUAUCUGUGGAGAAGUAUCACUUCAGGUUGUCCCAAAUUUUCUUUUAACUUAAGUUUUAGUACAUAGUAAGGCCCAUGCCCAACAACUAUAUGCAGCCUUGUAUAGCAGGCCACAUGACAUCUAUUUGUACCAAG